UACGUAAGGGGCAAGCGUUAUCCGGAUUUACUGGGUGUAAAGGGAGCGUAGACGGCAUGGUAAGUCUGAUGUGAAAACCCGGGGCUCAACCCCGGGCCUGCAUUGGAAACUAUCAAGCUAGAGUGCGGGAGAGGUAAGUGGAAUUCCUAGUGUAGCGGUGAAAUGCGUAGAUAUUAGGAGGAACACCAGUGGCGAAGGCGGCUUACUGGACCGUAACUGACGUUGAGGCUCGAAAGCGUGGGGAGCAAAC
rnacentral:rRNA from 1 species